UGCUUUUUAUAAUUGAAGAAGCAUCUACAUUAACUAUGUAACGUUUCUUGCCGACCCACCUGUCUCUGCCUCUUCCGUCGUCGUCUUUGAAGCCAACGUCAACACUUCUAUGGAGUCAAUGGUUGAACCUUUCCUGCCCAGCAGUUGCUAAUUGUUAAGGAGGACAGUGGUUUAGUGGAAGACACUGAUUCAAUUUCUUGUUCUUUCACGCAACUGAUUUAGGUAAUUUCAGUGUUAAGUGUCAAUGAUAUACACAAUUUUUUUUCAUGAGGAUAGUCUUUAAUUUAUUAAAUAUUGUUGGACUCGAUAAUGAUAGUCUGUUGUUGUUGUUUUCAGAAUCCAUAGGUUUUCAAAAAUUUCCAUGAGUGAAGGUCUUUCCACCACAAGCAAUAGUUGUCUAUUUAUGAUUAGCGAUUGGGAACAGGACUUCAGCCAUCGGAGUUGUAUCUAUGCCAUUUCGUAAUCUUAACUUUCAUACGAAUAAAUAAUUUUAAAGAA